ACUACUUCACCUCCACUUGAGUAGAUCUCUAUAAGUGCUCUCAUGCUACCUUUAUUUUUUUUAGUAUAUGUCUAGGUUUGGAGUAGUUUCAUUUAUCUCUUAAAUCAAGCAUGGUGCUUAGUUUAGGAAUGAUGAUCUUACUUCCAAAGGAUUUUUAAAUUAAGCAUGGUGCUUAGGUUAAAAUGCCCACCUAAAUCAAAUUAGACAUGGUGUCUAGGUUGAUUUUUGAGCCGAUAGUAUGCUAUAGUAGAUAUGGGAUAUUUUGUUGGACUAACCCCUGCAGGAAAACUUUCAAUAUCAACCUGGGACGUCCUGAGAUACAAAUUCAUUGGAGAUAAAGGAGACACAUGAAGUUUAACAAUUUGCAC
rnacentral:lncRNA from 1 species